rnacentral:sRNA from 1 species
CUGCCGCCAAAAGCAGGAAGCGUUGCGA